rnacentral:rRNA from 1 species
UUUAUUAGAGUUUUGGAUCAAGGUUUCCGUAGGUGAACCUGCGGAAGGAUCAUUGUCGAAACCUGCAUAG